rnacentral:lncRNA from 1 species
UUAAAUUUAGAUUUGAUUAUUAUAAAUCUAUUUGUCUAAAUAUAAUUGUUGGCUUUAAUGGAAUAGUGAUCUGAUUAUGUGAAUAGUGUGUAUGUGAUUAUAUUUGUUGUGUGGAUCAAUAUGGAUUAUACUAAUUAUGCGUUCUCCUUCCUUCUCUGAUUCCGAGGACGGAAUCCCUAUAAGGAGGGUAGAUUGUAAUGACCCGGAUUUUUUAAAAAUAUUUUUAUUAGUAUUAAAAGUGAUUUUUCUUUAAAAAAGGGAAUAAGAUUUAAUAUUUUAUUCCAGUUUAAUGAGUUUUCAAAGUUUUAUAUUUAAACCCCGGGUUAUUUUGUUAUUUAUAAAUAAUGGUAUUUUCAAAACUGAUUUUCAAAUAUUGUUUUGAAAAUUCUGUAUGAAUAUUCUGUGAAUAUAUGUGUGAUGUGAGUAAGUGGUAUUGGUGGAUUUGUUGGUUAAUUAGUUAUGGUUAAUUAUGAGUAUUAUAUGAUUAAUAUAUAUGAAUUUUUGUAAAUUUUAUAUUAUCUGGUUUAUUGCGUUAACUGCUCAUAUGUGUUCGUAUUUGAGAGAUUUCAAUUUCUAUAUGCUCAGGAGAAAAUAUAGUUUAUUUGGAUAUUUUCAUAUCGAUUUAUGGAAUGUUAGAUGAUUUUAUAAUCGAUUUACGGAUUUAAUUGCGUAUAUUUAUAUUUAUUUAUUAAUUAUUUGACUUCCGUAAAACCGUCCACUCGUAACGAGGUAGCAAAUUUUCUUCCCGGAAGUUUCAACAAAACUGACCUUUAGCCUAAUUUGAAUAUUCCGGACACUUUUCGUGUUUUGACUUUUUCGAUCCGGAGUACGGUUUUUCCCGGAGUCGGUCCGGCGGAGUUUUGCGGGUAUUUGAAUUGUUGAUAAUUAUCCAGUUUGUCUCGAUAAGCGUGAAACUAGAUAUUUUGAUUAUUAUAUUAAUUCUUAUCUUGUAAUAAUUGCAAUGGGACCCGCAUACUAAUGACUGAUUAAAAAGCCCCGUUUUGAUGAUUAUCUUGAAAACCAGUACCGAUUGGACCCCGCUUUAUUAUAUAAAGCUAGUAAAUACGUAUUUUCAUGUCAUAAACGAUCCAAAGGGGUACCAAUUAUUUGUAAAUAUAAAUAGACUUUUCUAUAGCUGAUUUUCACCGUAGAAAUCAUUUUCACCAGUUUCUUUUCACAAAUACCGAGAGAAACCGAGCGGUGUUCUUCGUGUUCUUCAUAAUCAAACGAGGAUUUGAAGGUGUUAUCGGAAUCCGAUGGAGGCUUAUGAAUAGUCAAAACGAAGCUAUCGACGCGUAGAAUCAGGUUUAAGCAUCCGUUUAUGUGCAGAUUUUUCAGGUGAUUUUAUAUUAAUUUUACAAAAUUCGAGUUAUUAUAAUUUAAAUAGUGAAUUUUUGCAAACGUGAUUGUUUGAUUGAUUUGAUGAUUCCAUGUUGUAGAGCGUGUUUUUCUCGUCGUUUUGGUAUAUUAUAUAUCGAUUUUUGACUUCCGUAUCAUAUAUAAAAUUGGGUUUGAUUAUUGGGUUGUGUUCUUGAAUGUUCUUGAAGGAUUAUGAAUAUUUUCAAUCGGAAAUUGGGGGUUUUUAAUUCGCUAAAUCUGGGCUGUUAUGGCUUAUAUCACUGGAUAGAGCAUGAGGAGAUGAAUUUGUUCGUGUAAUUAGUUUAUAUGUUGGAAUUCGAAUGGAGUCGCCGGAGUCUGGAAAUGGGUCCGCCGGCGGCGGUUGUUUAUUUCGAUUUUACGGCCAACCCUUAGAUUUGUUACUGAUUUUAACGACUUGAACAUGAUCCUGGUAGUGUAUAGAGUGUUUCUGGAGUUUCUGGUGCAUGUUGGGGGGCGGCGGCGCCGUUUCCGGCAAAGCUAGUGGUGGCCGGCGGCAAAUUGCCGUUUGGCUACCCAACUUAUGAAGAUGGUGAAGUUUGAGUACUGAAGUUUCGAAUCUUACAAAACAUCCCCUGUAACUUUUGAAAGUUGCACUUUAAACCCUGGACAAAACUUUCAAAAGUUUACACUUUAAACCUUUGAUUUUAAUUUUCAAAAAUUGUUUUUAUUUAAUUAUUUUAAUUUCAAAAAUAGUUUUUAAUUAUUUCUUUAUUCAAAAAUAAAUCUAAAUUGAUUUAUUAAUUAAUUUUGAUUAGCAAUUAAUUAUUUUAAUUGGUCAAUUAAUUUAAAUAUUAAUUGAUUAAUUAAUUUAAUUAAUUAUUAAUUGAUUUUAAUUGAUUAAUUAUUUGGAUUUAAUUAUCCUUUUUGAUUUAAAAAUUCUGAAAAAUAGUUUCGAGCUUUAAAAUAUUUUUCCAAAUUAUUUUCAAGGCUCGAUAAUUGUUUAUGAAUGAUUUCAAGUCCAAUUUCAAGUAUUUGGGACUUGAUUAUUUAUCCGAAAAGUGAUUCUUUUAUCGAUUUUAAUUCCGAAAAAUGUUUAAAAAUUCCAGAAAAUUCCCGAAAAAUCAUUUUUAACCCAAGAGUUGAUUUGAUAUCAAUCGGGGUGGGAAACCUUAUGUGUAAUGUGUUGUCUGCUAUCUGUUUGAUGUGUUAUGUGCCGAUAGAGGAGUUAGAAAACGGUUUUGACCAUAUCUUUGGAUCCGUAAGUCGGAAUCAAGUGAAACGAAAGAGAGACAGAAGCUUAUAACGUUUAUUUUAAUAUGAUGUGAUUAUAUGGCUGAGUCUAUAAGGUGAAUAAUUGUUGAUAAGUAUGCAUAAUGUGAUAAUAUGUGAUCUAAGUGUUAUCAGGUGAUGAUUAUGUGAAGUACGUGUUAGUUUUGAUAUUGUGAAGUGAUAAAUGAUUUAAAUGACAUAGUGUCAUGACUUGACUGAUAUUGGAUAAGAAUAUAUGGAUUAUAGUGAUUGGAUGUGGUUGGUUGAUUGAUGAUUGAGAUAGGAUAAUAGGUGGAUAGUCUUAUACAUAGACGAGACGAUGUCGGAUUUUCGAUAAGGAUUUAUAUGAUAAUUGAUUGGUGAUAUGUUAUGUGGAAUAUGAUUGACUAUAUGUUAGAGUCAAAGCAUGCUUAUGUGUUACGUAGUAUCUGAUAAGUUUAAAGGGGUAUAUAAGUGGGUAUCGAUAUACGUGAUAUGUAUAUGCGAUAUAUUGUUUAGUGACUAUAGUAUUAUCUUAUUCUCGUAAAGGAUUUGGACGAGACGUGUACGCUCGAAGACGUCAGAAAGUCGAAAUGGUAUUGCAAAGCGAAUAAGGGAUGAAUCGAGUAAGCGAAGCGAUGUGGCGAAUAGAGUAUAGCUAGAGAUGGUCUAGAGAUUACGAGAUGCAUAGAUUGUGAAAGUUGAAAGAUGAGAAUGAGCUGUGAAACUGGAGUCAGAUUUAAGGCAAGUAUCCUAAACCUUUCUCUUGGAUAUAUUGCAAAUAUUCUGAUCCAUUCCUUUGGUAUAUGUUUCAAGUAUUCAUACCUUUCUUUUCAAUGUUCGAAAGUGCGAGUAUUCUGAACCAUUCUUUCUAAUCUUCAAGUUUCUAAAGAAUUUCCGUUUUACAAAUUAAUUCGAAGUUCAGAUUGUCAUUGAAGCAUGUGUUGCUCAGUGAUAGUUAGAGCUUUGAAUGAAUUGGGAUCUUCUUGAUUAUUCAACCCGCCAUUGUCAUGCUGGUUUAGCAGGCUAAAUUCAGUUGCUUAGCCGAUAAUGGAGGAUACUGAAUAGUUGAGGAUUUCCUGAACUGUGA